CGUACCCGUAAAUCGGGGAAUAACUUGUAACUUAAGAAAUCCAAGAUACUCCGGCGUGAGAAAACCGAUCAAAGAAUGGCAACUUUCGCUGUUGAGGUUCGUCGUAAAUUGUUGAAAACUUUGACCAGCAUAUGUGCAUUAUUUAUUGGGGUAAGAUGCUGAAAAUUUGUACUAUUUAAACGGCCCAAAAAUAGUAAACAGAAACCACCCGUACCUGUUUCUCGUUUACGUGUAGACCCCGGUUUACCGCAGGGAAACGGGUAGAAAUUACGGGUAAAAUUGCUGACAUCAGCAAAAAUUGGUAAACAAAAUGGCGAUACUCGUACCCGUAAACCGGAACCGGGGUAUCUUAACCUCUCUAAUUGUAGCACCUGUCUAUAUAGAGAACAUCACUGGUAAGUGGGAAAUUUUCGCCAGAAAUGAA